rnacentral:rRNA from 1 species
UACGAAGGGGGCAAGCGUUGUUCGGAAUUACUGGGCGUAAAGCGUAUGCAGGCGGAUAGUUAAGUCGGGGGUGAAAUCCCGAGGCUCAACCUCGGAACUGCCUUCGAUACUGGCGAUCUUGAGUCCGGGAGAGGUGAGUGGAACUCCGAGUGUAGAGGUGAAAUGCGCAGAUAUCAGGAAGAACACCAAUGGCGAAGGCAGCUCUCUGGGACGGGACUGACGCUGAGACGCGAAAGCGUGGGGAGCGAACAGG